ensembl:lncRNA
UGCACGCAAGUGUGUGCAAGGCGGUAUUGAAUGAAUCACCAACUGUCACCUCAACAUUUUCUCUCAAACUGUGUGCACCUACAUUGUAAACUUUCAUUCAUAGGCUAGGUUGUAGCAACCUCAUGAUGGGUACAGGGAACAUUCUAGCACCACGUAGUAGUCUAAACCUAUUGAUGUUACAUUGAACUGGGUGAAUGGAAUAUGAAUGGCACUCAUCCAGUAUGCUCUUAUAGAAAUAAGGCUAUGCUCAUAAAAACAAAUGUCUGUCCUCCCACACCUUAAAUGGCACCAACUGCCACUGUUCUACAGUAAUAUCCUCAGUGCUGAAAUUAUCCUUAGGCACAUGUAUAUAAUGAGCUUAUACCUUCCCCAAUAUCUUACCCUAACCACUAGAAAGGGAAACACAAAACUAGGGGUAACUUCAUAUCCUCAAAGUGUUGGGGAGGCAGGUAGCCUAGUGGUUAGAGGGUUGGGGAGGCAGGUAGCCUAGUGGUUAGAGUGUUGGGGAGGCAGGUAGCCUAGUGGUUAGAGUGUUGGGGAGGCAGGUAGCCUAGUGGUUAGAGUGUUGGGGAGGCAGGUAGCCUAGUGGUUAGAGUGUUGGGGAGGCAGGUAGCCUAGUGGUUAGAGUGUUGGGGAGGCAGGUAGCCUAGUGGUUAGAGUGUUGGGGAGGCAGGUAGCCUAGUGGUUAGAGUGUUGGGCCAGAUCGAAUCCCUGAGCUGAUGAGAUAAAAAUCUGUUGUUCUAACCCUGAACAAGGUAGUUAACCUGCUGUUCCUAGGCUUUCAUUGUAAAUACGAAUGUGUUCUUAACCGACUUGCCUACUUAAAUAAAAGGUUACAAAUAUAUAUAAAAAUAAUAACGUACAUAUGCAAGUGAGAGAUUUUAAAUGAGCAUGUUAAUGUGUAUAAGAAAAGGGAUACUAUGGACUCUUCUUUGGAUGGUGUUUUUACCAGACAUGAGAACAGUCUUAAUAGUCUGUGAAUAUACAGCCACAGGUCAUGAUCAGUUGUGGAAUGUAUAAGCAUCAGCCGGAUGGGAUUAUUUCUCCUGGGAUUAUUUCAUAUGAUUAGGAGUGAGGGGGUUAUAGCUUCUGGUUGGAAAUGUGCAGUAAUAUUACCUGUUGUAAAGCUGACCUCUAACUUCAUGACAAAUCUUUCCAGUCUCCUGAGGGUGAAUAGGUUUUGUCAUGCCCUCUUCACGGCUGUCUUGGUGUGAUUGGACCAUGUUAGUUUGUUGGUGAUGUGGACACCAAGGAACUUGAAACUCUCAACCUGCUCCACUGCAGCCAUGUCGAUGAGAAUGGGGGCGUGCUCGGUCCUCUUUUUCCAGUAGUCCACAAUCAUCUCCUUAGUCUUGAUCACAUUGAAGGGGAGGUUGUUGUCCUGGAACCACACGGCCAGGUCUCUGACCAUGAUUGGGAAGCCCAUAGGGCGGCGUACAAUUGGCCCAGCGUUGUCCGGGUUUUGGCCGGUGUAGGCCGUCAUUGUAAAUAAGAAUGUGUUCUUAACUGACUUGCCUAGUUAAAUAAAGGUUAAAUAAAAUAAAAUAAAAACUAAGCAUGACAAGCCCCAAUGUGCACAGGCAAGUUCAAUGACAGAUGGGUGGAGAUUUAGCUUUUUAUGUAAUAAACGUCUGCCAAUAACCAACCAAUGUCUUUCUCCCUGAAGUUUGAGUACAGUGGCGAGCUGAAGAUACAGCACUGUUUCCACCCCUGAAUUAGCUCACCAGUCCAGACAGUUUACCAAGUAUUCAUUUGUUGCUGAUUCACAUGCUGUAUGGAAUGUCAGUCCCCUGACCCAUAAGGUCAGAUGAAUGAUAAUAUGUGGAGUGUGUGAACCUUCUCACAGUGUACACAUUUCUCAGCCCUAUAAUUAACUUUUACCCAAACAACACAGACAAUUUGCUUGAUGUGGCCUUUACGAGGCCUUUGAACUACGAGCUGACCCAUGGCGACCCUGCGUCUGAUGCCAAAAUACACAGGCAGCUUAUUGUGAAGGGAUAUAAAUAAUGUUGCUGAGUAAGGAGAAUGGAACUAGCAGUCUCUCUGGUCACCCAAAUGCCAUCUGUGUGGAUGAAUCAUCAUCAGUGCUAUGUAAAAGUGUACUGUACUAUGUGUCAUCAAGCAACACGUAACAAGCCGUGUUAUGGUGAUGAAUUAUAUUGUUCUUUUUCUUAAUGAUGAGGACACAAAAGUGGGUUGUGCUCUCUUGGGACAUUCAUUGGUUUCUUGUAUUGGCUUGUGUACAGAGAGUUAAGGACAGUCACCACUGUAGUUACAGACUGUGUUAAGGACAGUCACCACUGUAGUUAUAGACUGGGUUAAGGACAGUCACGACUGUAGUUACAGACUGGGUUAAGGACAGUCACCACUGUAGUUACAGACUGAGUUAAGGACAGUCACUACUGUAGUUACAUUAAGGACAGUCACUAAUAAACACAAUUUGCAGUCAUACAUGACUCUGUGUGUGUGUGUGUGUGUGUGUGUG